GGGGAUGUAGCUCAUAUGGU
rnacentral:siRNA from 1 species